GGCCUGGAUACUAUUCUCAAUUAUUCUACCCAAAAUCUAGCAGCCUGAGACGAUACGUCAGCCAGAAGGAUGAAGGCCAGUGCCUAAUGAGUGUCAAGGCCACAGUCCUGGAUGAAACACAGAACAUCCACAAGUACAUUGCAAACGGGAUUCCCAAAGAUGGACUGUUAAGUGAAUGUCUGCCUCAACAGCUGACAGAGAAUGAAGAUAAAGAGGAUUUCCUGUAC